AUGAUUUAAAACUGAUGAAUCAAAAGAGGUCGGGGUUAAAAAGCUCAGCUUCAUAUGUUGCUGAGUGAUGUGAGUGAUGAGUAAAGCUGCCAGUCUAAUGCAGCUGGAAACAUCUUUUUGAUAAAAUAACCUGAGUAAAGGUGUUCGAGAUCCCACCUGAAGUUAUUUCUACUGAAAGCAGGAGCAGGGCUUCUGAUGCUGAGGGUGUCGGCGCUUUUAGGAAGACCUUUGGAUGUUUCCCAUGAGGAGCUGAGACGUGUCCUGCUGGUGUUUUUUACUGAAACCAUAAACAAUCAUCACAGAUCGACAGGUGUUCAAAUUCAGGAUGUUCAGACUUGAAGUUUCAGCUGAAUGACGUCAUCCAACCAGCUGUGCUGCAGUUCCAACAAACACGAUGCAAACUUGUGUUUUACUCAUGAAACGUCUGAACUUCAAAGGUGCUGACUGACAGGUGUGUUUCAUUGAAGUCUAUAAAAACAUGAUGCACUUUGUUUCUUUCUUUCUUUGUAACAGAGUAUUGACUCAAGGGUAACACUUACCAUGAAGAAAUAUUGUGUGAUCAGUCCUCCUUCAGUUUAAUGUAACAAAAUCAUGGCUGGAACAGCUGCACCACCGAUCUGAGAGUCUGAAAGAUUACUUUAUAAGAUAAGAUGCAUUUUCAAUGAUGAAUGUUUGAGUGCAAAAAAGUGUUCAAACUCAGGUAAAGAUCUCUCUGGAUGUUCUCAGUAUAGUGAUGGAGACUGAGGCCCCAACGAUCCUACUCAUCCCUGCCUGUUCUCUAAAUUGAACAACAAACAUGUUAGUGAUGAUUCAGUUUGUCUGUAGUGUUUAGAGGUUGUCUCUAAAGCUUCCAGUCCUUUUAAACCAGUUAAACUAGUCUUUAAAAAUCCUCUUUAUCUCCCAGCAGCAGCCCUGCUUCCAUUUCACAACUUGAUCUGGUUUGUUUAAGAUGUUUACGCCAGUGUUUGUUGUCGUGACCUAAUGAGGAGCGUUUUGAAAAAAGAAAAUAAAGCCAGUGGAGACAUUUUACUCCAUGUUAGUCUGAUGGGAGUUUAAGGUUCAUUGGACCAAAUCUAUAUGAAUGAAGGUUAUGUUUGUUGUAUUAAUCAGUGUUUGGAUACAGUUAAUGUGAAGGUGAAUCAUGUUGUUAAUCUUUCAGUGUCUCACACUCUCAUUUAUACAAUCCCAACAGAGCACUUAGAUCGUCCAAUCACAGGCUCCUAGCACAACCUAGGUCUCGACUGAACUCGAGAGGUGACCAGGCCUUUGCAACCGUGGCACCAAGACUCUGGAAUAACCUCCCUGUUCAUAUUCGUACUGCCGAGUCUAUCCAGUCUUUUAAGUCACGUCUUAAAACCUAUUAAUCAAUAAACUGGAGAUACGACAACAAAUACAGAACUAAAUUUGACCUUCAUUGUUUAAAUCUGGGUCAUCUCAGUCACUUUACUCUCAUUACUGUCCUAAAAUGUGCAGCAGUCUCAUGCUACUGUAGAAAAGAGAAGUCGAGUUUUGGACAUGUGUAAAUGCCAGCGGUGAGGAGUUGGUCCCUGCCUUUGUCCAUGCAGAGAGAUUAAGAUGUGGUGACAUGGUCUAUUUUACUGUGUUAGAAGUGAAAUGGUUUCUUCAUGUGUUACAGUUCUGAUAUAUGUGAAAGUCUUUAAAGCUCAAAUUAAGGUUGAUGCAGUUUUUACAUCUCUGGGUCACGUCCAUGUUGUGUUAAAAUGCCAGUUGCAUCAAAAAUCACUUGCUGUAUUGAAAUAUUAGAUACUUUACAGGAAAAACUGAAAUCAGUUGUUUGUUUUGAUUAGAGAUGGUGAGUCGUCGUUUACAGCAGGUUCAGUGCUGGUUCUGCUGCAGAGUACAUGAAAAUGAAACUAACAUGAAAUCCUGCAGUUUGCUUUCAGAAUGUGUUGAUGCUUCUUCAUCCAGGGUAAAAUAUUUAUCUAUAAUAUAAUCUACAUGUGUAAUCUCCUCUGAAUCCUCUGCUCUCUGUCCUGCUCCACGGGAUCACCAGAAAAAAGUGAGCGAGGAAACUGAACUGAAUGUUGGAGACGAUGAUGUCAUCAGCAUAUGUACAGUUUAUGUACAGAGAAAACUGCAGCAGGGCCAAUGUGCAUCCCUGUGACACCUUUAUCAGAACUCUUAAUCAGAUUUUUAAUUUGAUUCAUCAUAACCAAAACUUUGAAACAAUCCUAAUUUCUGUCACGCUUAAACAAACUUAUAAUGACAUUAAAUCUAAUACCUAACAUGUUUUUCAUGUAUUACGAUGGUCUCCCCUGUGACUUCUCUUAUUGUGAAAAUAUUUAGUCCACAGGUUGGUUUUAUCUGGUAAAUCCAUCUUUUCCACUGGAUUAGCACAAAGGUUUAACCUACAAAGUAUAAUAUAAAGUAGCAGGCUGAGGCAGAGCAGGUGGCAAAGAAAAUGGUGUCAUCAGCAUAAAAACUGACUGUAAAGACAAUUGAAUAGAGAGUAAAUAUCAGAGGGUCUAAUACUGCCCCCUGUGGGACACUCCUGUAAAAUGCUUACAAACUUAUUAUGUUUGGAUUUUUAUUUUUUAUUUUUUUUAAAUGUACGUUGGUUGAUUUUCAGUCGAUUAGAGCUCGACUGUAAAGGUUUAAGGUAUAACGUAGUAAAUCUGGUCAAAGUCUGAGCAGGUGGCAAACAGUCUGGUAACAUUGGCAUCAUAUUAUAAGUGAAGGACAAAUUCUAAUUCACAGAGGACCUAAUAUUAAUCCAUGUGUGAGGCCUUUAUUCAGAUUCUAUGAAGUUGAUUGAGCUCUGGAUACGUUGGGGGGAUAAUACUGCUCCCUGUGGGACACUCCUGUGGAAACCUCUACAAAUGUGUUACAUUUGGGUUUUAAACGUAUCCUGAUUGGAUGAUUUUCAGUCCAUUAUCACAAGGUUUGACCACAAAGGUUUAAGCUAUAAAAUGUAAAGUCUGAGGUUCAUUGAAGGCAGAUUGGGUUGAGGUGGCGCAGGUGGAGCAAACCAAACUGAAUCAUCAGCAUAAAAACUGAUGUCAUAGAAAAGAGUAAAAGAAUAAAUGAUGUUGUGAUGAUGUGAUUAUAUUUAUGUUGCUUCAGUAUUUGAGUCUGGCCCUCGGUGAUAAACACAACUGGAUUUACUAUAAAAUGAAAAAUGGUGAAGAAGAGUUUAACUGAACAUUCAGACUAACUGUGGAGUUUUCUCCUGUUUGGUAACACUGUGGGUGAAAUGAUGCUCGGAGUACAUCUGGGUAACACAGCAAAGUGUUUAAUGAUGUUUGUGCUUGUAUAACAUGUUUUUAACUAGUGAUGUGGAAGACGUCAUGUCUGAAGGAAGAGCUUCUUGGUGAUGGUUAUUCACUGGUACUUCCAAAAGUCUCCACAGAGCAUCCAUUUAUUGUCAGGUUGUGGGUGUCUCAGUGACUGUGGAACGUAUCACUGGGGGUCAAAAUGUAGGCAAAACAAAAAGGUGUGUUUUCUUCAGCCUAUCAAAAACAGUGAACACAUUUCCUGCCAGUCGCCCCUCAGUUCAGUUUUCUUUCAUGUGGAUUUAUCAGAGAAAUCUGAAAAGACUGGACGGUUGACAUAACGCUAGAGUUCUGAUACCAAAAUCACUCAGGCAGAUAAUUUAAAAUUAUCUGUUAAAAUUAAGACUUUAUACUUAUUUAAAAUCCCAAAAUAAUACAAUUACGCCCUGAAAAUAUAUAACUACUAAUGUAAUUAUGAUGAUUAUAAUUAUCAGUACCUAGCACUUAAGAAUUGCCAAAAAUGCUCAAUUUUUAUUUAAAUUAUAUUUAAAUAGCGCGUUUCAGUCGUAUGUAGACGAUGGUGUUUAUAUCUGUGCUGCUCAGAGAUGCAGACGCUGUUAUAGAACAAAUGCUAAACUUUCAGUUGUGCAUGUUUUAAAGUUGGUGAAAUGUUUACAUUUGUAACACAAAGGAGACUGCGUUACAAUGAUUACUGUGUGUGAGCGCUCACCAAGGCUGAAUCCAGUGAAGCUCAUGUCAAGCAAAGCCUUUACACGCAGGUUUGUGUCCACGUCAAGUAAACGGGGCAUCAUGAACAGGACUGCUGCUCUUAAGUUAAAAAGAUAACGAGGUACAGUUAGUUUGUCUAAGAACAUAUUUCUAAUUCAUCGGCCAAGAUUUGAGAGAAGCAGCAGAAACCGAACGCCCCCCAACCUAAAGUAACAACACUAAGACCCAAUGAAAAAAAUACAAAAGCAAGAAAAGAUGAUAAGAGAAUCCAAAAGAUCACAAGGAGAAAAAUCUGCCACGAAGAAAACUUCAGAGGAUGUGAAACAAUUAAAGUGAAAAACCAAACAACUAAAACGAAGCUCCAAAUGAACGAGUGGGGAAAAAAUACAGGCUGAAGGCCUGAAAAAACUAAAAGACACAAACGACCAGAAAUGGAUACAAACUUACAUCAGAGACGAGAUAAAGCUGCAAAAAUGACCAUAAAGAGAUGAAAAAAUAACAGCAAAUAGCUGCAAAGAAAGACAAAACAACUGAAGACGCACAAACAGAUUCGAAUGAAAUGUAAACAACUAAGACUCAAGAUGACAAGAGACAAACUGAGAAGACGUGAACUGUCCAAAUGACUACAAAGACGUCCAGACCAGCUAGAAAAAGACCAGAAUAACCACAGAGUGACGCAAACUGGUGAUGAUGACAUAACCUACAACGAGACAGGAUGUAUUAAAAGAAUUUUGGAACAAAACUGACUCAGAAAUAAAGACGAGUAAUUCCAAUUUCAUUUUAUAUGUUAUUAUUAUAUUAUUUAUUUAUAAGUUUGGUGAUUAAAACAAACCUGAGAUGUGCUUUGCUAUUAUGAUUAGCAUGUAUAAUUCUAUAGUGAAUAUUUCAUCUUGUUUAUUAAUGACAUUAAAAUUAAAAUUGGGAAUUAUAAUUUUCUCUUUCAAACUUCCAUAAGUCUGAAGAAAACAGCAAUCCUUGCACAAAACUGACACCUGUACAGGUAACUUCAACCUGUGACCUUUACAAGAGUUUAUUUACAGAAAUGAACUUUGUUAAAUAAAUAAGUCUGAUUAAGGCAUGGACUUAUAGAUGUUCUUAAUGAGAUUUUGUCUAUAAACAAUAAAUAAAUAAAUACAUUUUAAAAAGCAGUUGUCAUCCCCAGUAAGCUGGGGGUGGGGUGGUGGAGUGGCCUUAAGGUCCGGGACCAAAAAA